rnacentral:rRNA from 1 species
AACGAACGCUGGCGGCAUGCCUAACACAUGCAAGUCGAACGAGACCUUCGGGUCUAGUGGCGCACGGGUGCGUAACGCGUGGGAACCUGCCCUUAGGUUCGGAAUAACUCCCCGAAAGGGGUGCUAAUACCGGAUAAUGUCUUCGGACCAAAGAUUUAUCGCCUUUGGAUGGGCCCGCGUUGGAUUAGCUAGUUGGUAGGGUAAAAGCCUACCAAGGCGACGAUCCAUAGCUGGUCUGAGAGGAUGAUCAGCCACACUGGGACUGAGACACGGCCCAGACUCCUACGGGAGGCAGCAGUGGGGAAUAUUGGACAAUGGGCGAAAGACUGAGCCAGCAAUGCCGCGUGAGUGAUGAAGGCCUUAGGGUUGUAAAGCUCUUUUACCCGGGAUGAUAAUGACAGUACCGGGAGAAUAAGCGCCGGCUAACUCCGUG